UACCAGCACCCCGAGUGGUCGGGACGAUUAUUGGGCCUAAAGCAUCCGUAGCCGGCCUUACAAGUCCUCCGUUAAAUCCAGCUGCUUAACAGAUGGGCUGCGGAGGAUACUAUAAGACUAGGAGGCAGGAGAGGCAAGCGGUACUCAGUGGGUAGGGGUAAAAUCCGUUGAUCCAUUGAAGACCACCAGUGGCGAAGGCGGCUCUCUGGUACGUGACUGACGCUGAGACGCGAAAGCGUGGGGAGCAAACAGG
rnacentral:rRNA from 1 species